UACGUAGGGUGCAAGCGUUGUCCGGAAUCACUGGGCGUAAAGGGCGCGUAGGCGGCGCGGGUAGUCAUCGGUGAAAGUUCAGGGCUCAACUCUGAAUCGGCCGGUGAUACUCCCGUGCUCGAGCACUGUAGAGGCAGGUGGAAUUCCGGGUGUAGCGGUGGAAUGCGUAGAGAUCCGGAAGAACACCGGUGGCGAAGGCGGCCUGCUGGGCAGUAGCUGACGCUGAUGCGCGACAGCGUGGGGAGCAAACAGG
rnacentral:rRNA from 1 species